GACGAACGCUGGCGGCGUGCUUAACACAUGCAAGUCGAACGGAAAGGCCCUGCUUUUGUGGGGUGCUCGAGUGGCGAACGGGUGAGUAACACGUGAGUAACCUGCCCUUGACUUUGGGAUAACUUCAGGAAACUGGGGCUAAUACCGGAUAGGAGCUCCUGCUGCAUGGUGGGGGUUGGAAAGUUUCGGCGGUUGGGGAUGGACUCGCGGCUUAUCAGCUUGUUGGUGGGGUAGUGGCUUACCAAGGCUUUGACGGGUAGCCGGCCUGAGAGGGUGACCGGCAACAUUGGGACUGAGAUACGGCCGAGAAUCCUACGGGAGGCAGCAGUGGGGAAUAUUGCACCAUGGGCGGAAGCCUGAUGCAGCAACGCCGCGUGCGGGAUGACGGCCUUCGGGUUGUAAACCGCUUUCGCCUGUGACGAAGCGUGAGUGACGGUAAUGGGUAAAGAAGCACCGGCUAACUACGUG
rnacentral:rRNA from 1 species